AUGAACGCUGGCGGCGUGCUAAUACAUGCAAGUCGAACGCUUUGUGGUUCAACUGAUUUGAAGAGCUUGCUCAGAUAUGACGAUGGACAUUGCAAAGAGUGGCGAACGGGUGAGUAACACGUGGGAAACCUACCUCUUAGCAGGGGAUAACAUUUGGAAACAGAUGCUAAUACCGUAUAACAAUGACAACCGCAUGGUUGUUAUUUAAAAGAUGGUUCUGCUAUCACUAAGAGAUGGUCCCGCGGUGCAUUAGCUAGUUGGUAAGGUAAUGGCUUACCAAGGCGAUGAUGCAUAGCCGAGUUGAGAGACUGAUCGGCCACAAUGGGACUGAGACACGGCCCAUACUCCUACGGGAGGCAGCAGUAGGGAAUCUUCCACAAUGGGCGAAAGCCUGAUGGAGCAACGCCGCGUGUGUGAUGAAGGGUUUCGGCUCGUAAAACACUGUUGUAAGAGAAGAAUGACAUUGAGAGUAACUGUUCAAUGUGUGACGGUAUCUUACCAGAAAGGAACGGCUAAAUACGUGCCAGCAGCCGCGGUAAUACGUAUGUUCCAAGCGUUAUCCGGAUUUAUUGGGCGUAAAGCGAGCGCAGACGGUUAUUUAAGUCUGAAGUGAAAGCCCUCAGCUCAACUGAGGAAUUGCUUUGGAAACUGGAUGACUUGAGUGCAGUAGAGGAAAGUGGAACUCCAUGUGUAGCGGUGAAAUGCGUAGAUAUAUGGAAGAACACCAGUGGCGAAGGCGGCUUUCUGGACUGUAACUGACGUUGAGGCUCGAAAGUGUGGGUAGCAAACAGGAUUAGAUACCCUGGUAGUCCACACCGUAAACGAUGAGUGCUAGGUGUUUGAGGGUUUCCGCCCUUAAGUGCCGCAGCUAACGCAUUAAGCACUCCGCCUGGGGAGUACGACCGCAAGGUUGAAACUCAAAGGAAUUGACGGGGACCCGCACAAGCGGUGGAGCAUGUGGUUUAAUUCGAAGCAACGCGAAGAACCUUACCAGGUCUUGACAUCCCUUGACAACUCCAGAGAUGGAGUGUUCCCUUCGGGGACAAGGUGACAGGUGGUGCAUGGUUGUCGUCAGCUCGUGUCGUGAGAUGUUGGGUUAAGUCCCGCAACGAGCGCAACCCUUAUUACUAGUUGCCAGCAUUCAGUUGGGCACUCUAGUGAGACUGCCGGUGACAAACCGGAGGAAGGUGGGGAUGACGUCAAAUCAUCAUGCCCCUUAUGACCUGGGCUACACACGUGCUACAAUGGCGUAUACAACGAGUUGCCAACCCGCGAGGGUGAGCUAAUCUCUUAAAGUACGUCUCAGUUCGGAUUGUAGGCUGCAACUCGCCUACAUGAAGUCGGAAUCGCUAGUAAUCGCGGAUCAGCACGCCGCGGUGAAUACGUUCCCGGGUCUUGUACACACCGCCCGUCACACCAUGAGAGUUUGUAACACCCAAAGCCGGUGGGGUAACCUUCGGGAGCCAGCCGUCUAAGGUGGG
rnacentral:rRNA from 1 species